CUCUGAAGCUGGCACUCACUGAUUCAGGAAUACUAGAUCUGCUAGACAGCAAGCUCCUGGGAUCUACCUGUCUGGACCUCUUUUCCUGCCACAGUUCUGGAGUCACAGGAUUUCUUUGAACCUGAAACUCUCUGGCUAGACUAACCAGGAAGCCCCAGGAAUCCUCCUGUCUCCACCUUCCUUCCCAACACUGGGGUCACAGGUCUUGGACUGAAUAAAGAGAAGAAAAGCAAGCUAAAUACGAGCAUCCGUCUCUCUCCGCAGAUACAAUGUGGUGGGCUGCCUCAAGCAACUGCUACCAUGACUUCCCUACCAUGAUGAAUAAUACCUUCUAACUACACACCUCCUACCCACCUAUGUCUCCAGUUGGUAUGGCCCUGUGAGUCAAUCCCUAAGCAGACCCUGCCCCGAACACUAACAACUCCCUGUCCUGCCUUUGCU